rnacentral:rRNA from 1 species
CAAUAGCGUAUAUUAAAGUUGUUGCAGUUAAAAAGCUCGUAGUUGGACCUUGGACCUGGACAGGCGGUCCGCCUCACGGCGUGUACUGUCUUGCUGGGUCUUUCCUCUUGGUGAUCUGUUGUUUCGGCAGCAGGGAACCAGGACUUUUACUUUGAAAAAAUUAGAGUGUUCAAAGCAGGCUCGACGCCGGAAGAUAUUAGCAUGGAAUAAUAAAAUAGGACGUGCGGUUCUAUUUUGUUGGUUUUUGGAAUCGCCGUAAUGAUUAAUAGGGACAGUCGGGGGCAUUAGUACUCACAUGCUAGAGGUGAAAUUCUUGGAUUUUGUGAAGACUAACUUCUGCGAAAGCAUUUGCCAAGGAUGUUUUCAUUAA